rnacentral:rRNA from 1 species
GUGGGGAAUUUUGCGCAAUGGGCUAACGCCUGACGCAGCAACGCCGCGUGGAGGAUGAAGGUCCUUGGAUUGUAAACUCCUGUCAGCAGGGAAAAAGCGACUGUACCCAAUACGUACGGGAGUUGAUUGUACCUGCAGAGGAAGCCCCGGCUAACUCUGUGCCAGCAGCCGCGGUAAUACAGAGGGGGCAAGCGUUAUUCGGAAUUAUUGGGCGUAAAGGGCGCGUAGGCGGCUUGGCAAGUGGAUGGUGAAAUCCCUCGGCUUAACCGAGGAACUGCCAUCCAGACUGCUUUGCUUGAGGCCGGGAGAGGCGAGUGGAAUUCCCAGUGUAGCGGUGAAAUGCGUAGAUAUUGGGAGGAACACCAGUGGCGAAGGCGGCUCGCUGGACCGGUUCUGACGCUGAGGCGCGAAAGCGUGGGGAGCAAACGGGAUUAGAAACCCUGGUAGUCC